AUUAGUUUAAGCGCGCAUGCGCGAGAACACAGUUGAGACCGUUGAGAGCGCGGGUCUUUGGCUGAGGGGAGCCGCCGAGUCUACCACAAACACAGCUGAUGACUUACCUGCUCUGUAAAUAAGAUGAACUCUGAUCCUGUGGAGCUUCUUCUUCACUUGAAGAACAUUAGUUGGACCUGGUGGCGAGCGUGCAGUGCAUUCAUCAUCGUAGAACUCCAGCUCCAUAAGCUGAGACCAGACCGGGAUCUCCGGUCUGUCCAGGUUCUCCGACACGGACCUGGAAAGGACUUCCAGGGAUGUGAGAGCCGUUGAACUUGACGU